GCCCACAACCCCGAUUCCUCCUCCUGGCUCCUGCUCUACCCAACGCCACCACCCACUCCAUCUCCGGCCGCCGGAGGUCAUCCUCUCUCCCGGACAGCCGAACUGCUGCUCUCAUUAUCUUUCCUACCCGUCUCCCCUGACACGCCCCCAACUCGCUCUUGCUCUGUCGCCCUAGCUCGCACUGCCACCGCACGCCCCGCCGAUCCAAUAAUCGGAAACCACGCCCAGGAGCUCAUCCUCCGACGCUUCUGAACCGCCUGGUUGCCAUGGCACCGAUUCCCCCAUCCCUCUGCCAUGCCUCUGCUAUCAUCGUGACUCCCGCCGGCGAGGCUCCGCUCACGCCACUGCUUUCCUCAACGGCCCCUCCCCGCCACUAUUGCGCGAUGCGUAGCCGAUAUCAUCACCAACAUGUUGGCGGUUGGGAUGGACAAACUCCUUGAUCAAUCUAUGAUCCUGAAGGAGUCUCUUGGCUACCAGAUAUAUUGCAACAUGACUUUCUCUGUUCAAUUGUUGUGGCUAUCUUUGUCUUCCUUCUAACAAAGGUGUCCUCACCUAAACUCCAAGGAAACCAAGUUACUUGGUGUGAUGGAGACCAAUACAUCAAGUAGGCAAGAUAAAACUAUGAAACAACAUGUUUCUGCUUUGUGUUUUCUGAUUUCUUCACACGCUAUUUAAUAGUUCCCAUGAAAAACUUUUAUUGAAAUAUUUGUAAGUUUGGACCAAGGAAUUGCUUUUGUUGGAAAUCUUAUGAUCAAUCUCAUCUUAUUAGUAACUCUGUUUCGAAACAUAUGUAUUGGUAGUUUUUAUCUCUAUGCUUUUGCCUUCUGUACAUGCUGAAUUGCAAACAACUCAACAUAGUAUUAGUAAAUCAUUUUAUAUUGUCAGUUAUGCUUCUCUUUGUAUAUAAUACUAUUCGAAGGACAUCUGGCUGAGAAGAUUUGUGUUGACUACUGACAAGGACAGCCACUAUGAUAGCUACUAUUCGAAGCCCAUGUUUCAGUAUGCAGUUAUGCAGGUCACAAAGGCAAUGACGUUAUAUUUGAUUACUAAUAAUGUAGGCAAGUAAAAUAAUGACGCUGGCAUCAUGUCUCUAGGCUAAUGUAAUCAGUUUCUUUGCACAAUUGCUCAUUGUCCAAUUGAUUGGUCAGAACAAAUGUACAAGGCACUGCAGGUGGAGACUCCAAAACAUUGAUGUUUGUUCAAAUUAGCCCAAGGAAACUCCCUGCUCGCUGAACUUUGCAAGCAGAGUGAGAGGUGAAUUUCUGCAAUUUAUUGUCUAGAUAGAAGGGACAUGGGAGGUUGAGGUGAAACUGGUCAGCAGUAGCAGCGCUUCCUUGAUUGCAUGUACGACUGCCAGGAGAAGGGAAAAGUGCAGGGAGCUUGGAGGUGAGAUACCGUGGGUUUUGUUUCACAUAUUGCACUUUAAUCAAUGGUCGAUCAUGAACUGUUAUGCAAUACUUGGCUAGACGUAACUAUGAGAGGACUUGGGGUACAACCAUCUUAAACGGACGCUCGAUUGCCUUGGCCGCCCUCUCACAACUCUCUGGAGUUAGUGAACAAUAUGCUGCUGCUUUUUCUUGUCUUUGCUGCUGCUAUGCUCUUUCUUACUUGUGGUACUAUCUAAGGUUUGUUUAACUAUCGCCACGUUUUAGUCAAUCGUGCAUGCAUGCAGGCCGGCAUGGUACUAGGAUUUUUUUCUGGAUAACUAAGAGAAAUGCUGUCUAACUUGUUGUCACUGACGAGUUGAGAGUUUUUAUCCUAGCAAUAUUUGUACCAAGUUUUGCAAACUUACUUCCAUCAAGUCGUGCCGGACAUGAACUCCACAUGAAUCACCCUCCUUUGCAACAUAAAAAAGCAUCGAGCCCCUCUACGGAAGCCACGUCUAAAUUGCAAAUUCCGGUGCUCGAAAUUAUCUCACUGGAAGGAUCCAAUCUUGCCAUUCUACCAACUUCGCAGGGACGCCGACCACCCACGCUUCACCUAAGAAAAUGAACCACAAUGAUGAAUGAACCACUAUUGAGGUUUCUGAUAAUCGGCCUUUAAAAAAUACAUUCUGAAUCAUGUGUUUCCAAUUCAGAUAAACUGAUAGAUGGUGAUGAAGAUCCAUCACCAACUAUCUCAACAUCAUCUCCGGUUUCUGAAGUUCUGAAAUGAUUGGUUCAGAACCAGAUAGACACAUAAACCUCCGUCACCAACCAUCUCGACAUUAUCUCUGUUUUGUAAAUUGAUGAAUAAAGGAAAAGUUUCAUUAGAUCCUAAUGUGCACCUUGCUUAAAUCCUACUCCCUCCGCCCCAAAAUAAGUGCCAUUGAGUUGGUACUUUUCUGAAAUAAUCUUCUCAAGAUUUCAUGGUAACAUGUGGCUUUGUCAGUAGAUUAUGUCAGGAAAUCAAAGUCCUCCUUAUUUGCAACUGAUUGGUGUUGGACCGGAUUAUACAUGCUCCUCUAUGUGCUCUACUUAUGGAAAACUGUACAUGGAUAUACAUAGAUUGGAAUUGAGAUUUGGAGCAA